GACUUGUGUUUGAUGCCUGAAAUUGAAGUUAAAAUGUUAUGCUCUGCUUUAGAAAGUCCAUAAAGGGAAAGACCAGGCAGAAAGCAAACCUUCCAUCAAAUACAUUGCAGUGAACAUGAUAAAUGGAUACUAUCUAUCAUCUCAGCACAUCCAUCUGUGUCUCAGAUUUCCAUUGAAUAAAUAUGCAUCUGUAGUAUGCCAAAGAAGAUGUAAACAAGGAACUCAGAAUAAGGUAUAUAAGGGUUCCUAUGGUUAUGGAUGGGGAGGGCUGAUUGGUCACAACACAGCACCUAAUUAUCAUAUGGACCGGAAGAAAGAGCAGCGCUUGCAGGAAGCUUUUGUUCAGGGUCAUCUUCAAAGUAAGGUCAGAUAACAACUCAGCUUGCUACGGAGCAGAGCACCUUUUCAUUCAGCUCACAGGAGACCCUGUGUUACCCGAACAAAGGUACUUCAAACAAUACCGUGGACAUUCUC